UAAGCUUUAUUUAGACGAUUCGGGCAUUAGGGGCUUGCCGGAGAGCAUUUCGAAGCUCUCUUCUGUCCAGUGUCUCGACCUUAGGGGCUGCAAAAACCUUCGAGAAAUACCGACACUGCCCUUAAGCUUAACAGCUCUACAUAUCGAUUUCCCGACUCCAUCGUUGCCAUUUCUUUCUAAACUAACCCUUCUUCAGGAACUCACUCUUUUCGAUCUCCGUCCUCUUGAAUGUCUCUCAGAGUUUCCCGUCCGACUAUCGACGUUUCAUCUUAAACCUAGUUCUUCGGUGAAUGACGAUCUGAGGGAUUUGGAGAAGCGAUUAUCCGAAUUGAUUCGCGACAAGUCCUCCGGGCUAAGAGAACUCACUGGAUCCAGUUGGACAUAUGCUGAUCGCACCCCCAGAAGAAAACUCAUUGGAUCCAAAUGGACAUAUCCUGAUUCCCCCAGGUACCAAAUUUUCUUCAGCUACCAAAUUGGUGAGGCAACGAACCCGACCAUUGCAAAAUCAAGCGAAGAAGGAGACCCUCUCUUUGAUGAGGCAGCGAGCCCAGGCACUCUAGCAGUCGCAACAUCAAGCGAAGAAGGAGACCUCUCUCUCUCUCUCUUGGCCGUAUAAAUUUCGGCGACCGAACCCGACCAUUGCAAAAUCAAGCGAAGAAGGAGACCCCCUCUCUCUCUCUCUCUCUCCGCGCGUGCGCGCCGAGCUUGUAAAGACUCUAGCUGAAGGAAGCUUCUGGAGGCAAAGUACGAAAACACAUAGGCAAAGGAGAGUGGUCAUGCUGCUGGACUUGUAGCGCUUUGGAUCCCUAAAGUUCGUUGGGUUCUUUCGAGCUAAUCAUCAGGCGUGAAUUUGAUAGGCUGCAGGGCUGCAAGAUCAUGAACAGGAUUAGCAGUGUUACACAAAGAUAUGAAGCGUCACUUCCAGGUGGUGGUGGAGAUGGAGUGGUCCCAGUGGUUGGGGCUGGCAGCUACCAGACGCAUGAAGUUUUGGCAUUAGUUAAGACAAAACGUUGAUUAGGCGUUCCCAGGUUCUCCAGAGGCAAAGGGUCAGUGGAUCCUUCAACUUUGAAGAUUCCACGGGAAACAAAUUGCUGUGAGUCACGAGAAUCUAGUCGAGAUUUGCAGGACCUUUCGAGUUCGAAACAUCUGGGGCUAUCAUGUGUUGCCAAUCGCAAGAGUCUGAUAUUCGUGGUUGCACUUACCUUGGAAGAUUAUUGGAUCUAUCAUGCUUGAAAACCCUGAUAAUACUGAACAUCAACCACUGUGAAGAGCAAGAUGAUAUUCAAAGCCUAGAGGUAUUCUCAUCCUGCAAAAGUUUGUGUAUUCAAGGAUGCAAGUUGUUAGAGUUCCUAGAUGCUUGGAAAUUUGAAGAUUUAAGGAACUUGAUAGUGACAGCUUGUUGGUAACCAUCUGACAUCUCAGGGCUCAAAGGAUUGAGAUACCUAUAAAGUAUAUAGAUUUCAUGAUGCUAGUCAAUUGUCGCAUGAGACUGCGACAAACUAAUUGAGCCUGGAGGGCUUGGAGACUAGGAGCUCCAGAAGCUUUAGACAUUUUUAGAUGCAAGCCAAUAUGUGAAUUGUCUUGAGCUUUCCUCAUAUGGAAUAUGAGAGCAAUUGUUAUGUCAGGUAUUCAUGAGAUCACAUUCUCGUGAUAGUUUGAUAUUUGAGAUGACCCCUGUCCUCUAAUAAGGCAAAAUCUUAGAUGACAAAAUCAUGAAUGAAGCUGGCAGUCCUGGUGAAUCAUCUGCACACUGGCUUAUAUGUGAUAUUAAUACGGUUGAAAUUACAGAAUGUUGAAAGAACAAGCAGAUCUUUAAGAAAAUCCCUUUGACCUAGUCAUCUCAGUUUCUUAAGGUAAUUUGGUGAUUGACAUGUGGAUUAUUAAGGAAGCUUCUGGAGGCAAAGUACAAAAACCCAUAGGUGAAGGAGAGUGGUCAUGCUGCUGGACUUGUGGCACUCUGGAUUCCCAAAACUCAUCGGGUUCUUUCAAGCUAAUCAUCAGCGUGAAUUUGAUAUGCUGCAAGGUUGCAAGAGAAGCUUGUGGAGGCAGAGUACAAAAUCACAUAGGCAAGGAAGAGCGGUCAUGCUGCUGGGCUUGCGGCCCUUGGGAUCCCCACAAUGCAUUGGGUUCUUUCAAGCUAAUCAUCAGGACUAGCAGUGUUACACGGAGAUAUGAAGUGUCACUUCCAGGUGGUGGCGGAGAUGGAGUGGUCCCAGUGGUUGGGGCUGGUAGCUACAGGGAUCCAGCUAGACUGGAGUUGGGGGCAGUGUAAUUUUCACUGACAGUGACAGCUAAUUUUUGGCCUUGAGAGCAACGAUCGCUGUUAGCAAAGGUGUAGACAGAGUAAGACUCGCAGGCAGUGUCGAGGGAAAUGUUGGCUGGUCCGUGGUCAGUGUAUGAACAUAGAAGCACUGUGGCAGUUAUUAUCACCAUUUGACAUGCUGACGACGUCAUGCGACCCUGCUUUGAAGUAGAACACUGCAAAAAUAAUGGAAGAUCAUUGGCAUUAAAAGGGCGAAGGUCAAGAUUGAUUUUUCGGCCCCUAAAGCUCAAGAUUGAUUGCACAUAAGUACAUGCAUGCAAUUGUGUGCAAUUUAAACCAGGAGAUUUUACUAACAGAGCUUCUGUAAGCUGGAAAUUAUGAGAACCAUUUUUCGCUUAUCUUGAUUUGUUUUAGCUUUCCAGCAUUUAUGCUCCAAAAAGAAUGGGACAUUGAGUUCUCUUCAGGAAGUUAUACAUAGAUUUGUGUCUCUCCCCUUUGUGAGAGCUUCUCUCUCUUUGUCAAGAGCUUUCCCUACAUCACAAUGAUGUUUUCUUUCACCUAUGUUCCUUCAUGAUCGUCACCCCCCAUUCUUCUCGAUAAUCCAUAA